rnacentral:rRNA from 1 species
GAUGAACGCUGGCGGCGUGCUUAACACAUGCAAGUCGAACGGAGUAUUAACGCUGCAGAGAUUUCGGUCGAAGCUUGUUAAUACUUAGUGGCGGACGGGUGAGUAACGCGUGAGUAACCUGCCUCUCAGUGGGGAAUAACGCCCUGAAAAGAGCGCUAAUACCGCAUAAUAUAUUCUUGCCGCAUGACAGGAAUAUCAAAGAUUUAUCGCUGAGAGAUGGACUCGCGUCCGAUUAGCUUGUUGGCGGGGUAAUGGCCCACCAAGGCGACGAUCGGUAGCCGGACUGAGAGGUUGAACGGCCACAUUGGGACUGAGACACGGCCCAGACUCC